ensembl:lncRNA
GUUUUCAAAGGGGAAUCAUUAUCCUGAUUAUGAUUCAAUAAACAGAAACCUGAACCCAGGCCAGGUCCCUUCAUGGCUGCCAGAAAGAACAGCAGGGGAAGGCAAAAGAACCACCAUGUUUCAGGCUUAAGCAGAGCUUAAUGCAGCAAGACAUUCAAACAAGUGCUGCUCACCUUGAGCUUUAUCUGGCUGCCGGGAAACACAAAGAAGGACAGCAAUUCCCUGAGGUCUCAGCCAAUGCCAACUCUGAUACAGUUGGUUACGCUUUGUGUCUCAAGUCAAGCUCUCCAGAUUGGUGUGAAGCACCUGGAUCAAUGUCCAUUCCACUCCAGGAUCAAACAAGGUUCCUGUGUGGAGCUCACACAAACCAGUUCAGCCUGGUUGUUUUUGUUGUUUGGGGUUCAACCAGAUUCAUUGCUCUAUUGUGGAAGAUUGUGACUACUCAAUUUGUAUGUCUGCCAGUUCUGUUUACUCUUCAGGCACCCAAUAUGGGCAAUGCAUGAACUAAUGCUCUCCUUUUAAAAAAAAAUAAUAAUACUUGAUAUUUAAACCAAAGUUCGACUGGGAAGAGCUUCAGGCAAAGGAGACCUCCAUAUAGUGGACUGUACUCUAUCAGUCUUUUGAUGAAAUAUUUGUAAAAUUAGAUACAUGGCUACCAUGAUCAGACCAGUGCCAAUGAGUCACCAUUAUUCAACACAUAUUCCCACAACCAUGAUGCAUUCCAUGGUAUACUCAUGAUCUUUCUUCAUUCCUGUAAUUUAAAUGAUACCAUGGCUCUUUGAUAUUGUCAGUAUUCUUGAAUCCAUGUACUCUGCUAGGAAGUCCUCCCUCUAAGAGAGGGAUGGGAACAUGAGGUCUACCAGAUGUUGUUGGGCAAUUACUUCCAUUAUUGGCUAUAAGUCCAACAAUAUUUAAUGGUCCACAAAUUAUCCCCCCUCCCCUUGAAGCUAUGGAUGUGAAGAAUCUGAUAUAAUUAGUCAUCAGUCUUAAUUCUCCUCUGACACAAUAAAAAAGGGAAAAGUCAUCAGUGACUACAGUCCUGAACAUGUUUGGAUGCAUUUUCAUUUAUGUUAGCUGAGCCCUGGAGCUUUAAUCCUUUUAUUCAAUUAUAUCCUAUUGUGAUCCUUUUCCUGCUGUGCUUGGUUCUUUUUGAGGAAAAAACAUCCCUGUAGCAUUGAUAGCUUCAGGCUUUUCACUACAGUGAAAUAUGCUAACCCUUAUAAUGAGCUUUCUUAGACCUUUUUGAGACGAGAGAACAAGUGAGGGAAUGAGGAACACAGGCAUCCUUCCUGUCCUUGCCCAUGUUCCCUUUAUCCAAAAUAGAACUUUUGUGUUGCCGUCCACUGGGAAAUGCACAUUUGUCCUCAAAAGGAGGGUUUAUGCAUCUCUUCAUGGGAAGCUGAUGGGGAGAUAUAAAAGUUCUAUUUGGGAUCUGAUAGGAAAAUGGAGAGCAGAAAAUGUAAGACAAUGAUCUUCCUGCUAGGCCACAGAUUCCUAUCAUCCAAAGGUCCUCUUAAUCAUAAGACCAGCCUUGUCUUUAAAAACUGAUUAUUUUUUUAAAGGAUGUAUGAUAGAGAAGAAGAGAGAAGGAACGGCGGUGAUUUCAUUAGGAACAUUGUGUGCUUGACAUAUUUUAGAAAUAAGAUCAUAAAUGAGAUUUGAGAACGGAACUUCUGCAUUCCCUGGCCAAUAAUUUUAAUCUUUCAAUCCUUCAAACUGUCAGCCUGUGACUUUACCAGCAGCUUGCUCAUGUAUCUCGAGGUAGUUUAAAUUUUAAAUUUUAAUUAAUUAUAACACUAAAACUAAAAAUGUUUCAUGUUCCUGGAAAAGAAGAAAAGAGCCUUCCUAAUCUGCCAUAAAGGUUUGGGUUGGUUUGUUUUUUUAAUGGGAUACUGAAGGUUUAAGUGGCCAAAGGAAAAGAGGGAGGGGAACUGUGAGAGUGUACACAAACAACUCUUUGCAAGCACUUUAACCCUUCUAAGAAGCCAGCCUUCAUGAAUGACAACUUGUACUGUUCCAUUAUCCGGGCUGAGACCACCAGGUGGCAAUAAAGAGAGAAAGAUAGUCCAUUUUAGGGUAGGGGAGCUGAAGGGGAAAAACAAUUUCCCCCCAUUUUUGCUGGUUAUUCCCCCUCCCCUCUUUCCAUAUCAUAAAAAGAGUUGUUUCCACAAUAGGGUCAUGGGUGGGGGGAAUAACAGGAAAACAGGGGGAAAUUGUCUUCUUCCUUCAAACCACCCUCCACCCCCAUAAAAUUUUCUCUCUAGUGCCCCCUGGUAGCUUCUGCUCGGAUAAUGGAAAGAUUCCCAACAAGGUGGUAAUUUAGGCUUUGACAAGAAAAGCUGGAAUGGUUCACCAAAAAGGAGGCAGAUUAAUUUGGUAGGGAUAGAUAAAGGUAAAGGUUUUUCCCUGACGUUAAGCCCAGUCAUGUCUGACUCUGGGGGUUGGUGCUCAUCUCCAUUUCUAAGCCUAAGAGCCGGCGUUGUCCGUAGAUACCUCCAAGGUCAUGUGGCCGGCAUGACUGCAUGGAGCGCCGUUACCUUCCUACCGGAGCGGUACCUAUUGAUCUACCCACAUUGGCAUGUUUUCGAACUGCUAGGUUGGCAGGAGCUGGAGCUAACAGCGGCCGCUCCCGCUGCUCCCGGGGUUUGAACCUGGGACCUUUCAGUCUCCGGCUCAGUGCUUUAACGCACUUCACCACCGGGGCUCCAAUUGGUAGGGAUAGUUCCAAUUAAUCUUUGGUCACUCAACUUUUUAAAUCUGCUUUGAAAAUAUUCAAGUUUCUCUCUCCUCCU